GGCUCGGUAGUGGACGGUCCACACCUCCCAAACAUAUAUGGCAAUGAUUGUGGAACUAAUUUCUUUGGAGGAGCUGCCCGUUCGAAUCGGGCCCGAGCCA